GAUAGGAGGCGGUUUAGGGAACCCAGCACCGACCGCGGAGGGUUCGGGGAGUCCCAGAAUUAGGAGGAAUCCGCGGGGCGUCGUGGAGUUGGCUGGGUUGUGGGCGGGGGGUGUUGGGGAUGAAGGCCGAGUGGAGUGGAGGGUGGCACGGUGCAGUGCCCCAGGGGGAUAAGCCGGAAGGAGGAGAGAACCUGUGUCAUGCUUAUGCAUACAUCCCAGUGUCCCACAUCCCCGACCAUGUCACAAGCAGAAGCCCCACCCCACAUGGAGGUGCCCGUUACCUGACGGGUGCAGGGUAUUGAUGAAGGCACCUUGGCAGGCAGUCAAGGAACUGCCGGGACAGGUUUUCUGAGCAAGAACUCCCUGGCAGCCAGGGGACUGGGGAGAGCUGCUUGGGGCCUUAACUGGCUGCUCUGUAAGCUGAGCAGCAGUGCGGGAGCAGAGGUGGAAUGGGAGGCCAAGAGAAUGGCCUGAGGAAAUAAACAAAGAGCAGACCCCCUAGGCCACUUACCAUAUCCAGCCACUGCUGGGCACUGGUCAUAGAUGUACUUGGAGCAGAUCUCACGCACCACACUGGCA
rnacentral:lncRNA from 1 species